ACUGUACUGAAAGUGAAAGACAGAAUGGGUACUAGAUAUAUGCUUUCAACUGAAUGUGCAUCACUUUCACAUCAUCACAAACUCAAAACUAAUGUCAAACUAUUGUAAGUUGGGUAUUGUCUGUACGUUAUUUAAUUUUAUUUUUAUGGAUUGGAUUUGAUGGAUUAAGUUUUAGAUUGUUUAUUAUUGGAAAUAUCAGAUUUCCCUUAUUAUAAUUGUGAAGUUCAUAUGCUCUAUUGAGAAUUUCUUUAGACUCAUAGUCUACUGUACUGGGUUUAAAUCUGAAGAUUCCAAUUAUGAGCUAUAUGAUUAUCUGCCAACAUGUUUUCUCAUGCAUCGAGCUGAAAAUUUAUCUUUCAAGGCUGGGUGAGCGGUACAUCAGACAACAUUACUAUAAAACGUUCCACAAAUAUUAGGGAACAUAUCUCCUGCCUCACUUAUGAAAUGGUUCUGCAGUCCUCCCCAGAAGGCAGCUUUACAGGGAAGCGCUUAUCAAUUACGUGUUAUUGUUUCAUGAUGGUGAUUUUUUUCAUGAUUCAUCCGAAAGAUUUGCAAAUGAAAUAUUCCAUAAAGCAAGACAACCUUGAAAAUGCCAUAGUUUCAGAAAAGCUGGAUAAGAUAAUCAGCUGUUAUUGAAACUAAGCUUGAUGUGAUUUGGUAUCAUGCUCUGAGCUUGUCACUAAGAAUAUCUGAUCUCUACCCAUAAACAAACUGUUUAAAAACUAGUUAAAAGCUAUCAGCACUAAGAAUGAUUGAAUUUAUUUAACUUAGUGCUGAAUAUACUGUAGAUACUAAACAACUACGUACUAUACGACCAAUACCGGAAAAAUAUUCCAUUAACUAGUCAUUUUCUAGAAAACCUUUCAAUGUUGUUUGACUAGUUUUAAAUCAAAUUCAUAAUUUGAUUUUGUAUAACUUGAUUUUGGAAUAAUGCUUUUUGUUUCUCAGACUUGCCCAAUUACUUUUUGAUUUGCGCAUUAUCCAUGUGUGGCUCUGCUUGUUUUUAUAAAUAAACUCUGAGUAAAAUGGCUCUCACUGAAAUUGCACUCAUUUGAGAAUGCGUAUGUCCAUGUGUUUAUGGAUACUGGCUUUCUUCUCUUAGCUUGACUUACCAAAUUAACUGCCACUUGUUAUUUAUGUUAGAAUUUAAUCUGAAUUAAAUUCUCACAAAAGAAAUAAAA
rnacentral:lncRNA from 1 species